rnacentral:rRNA from 1 species
AUUGAACGCUGGCGGCAGGCCUAACACAUGCAAGUCGAGCGAGCGGCGGACGGGUGAGUAAUGUAUGGGGACUGCCCGAUAGAGGGGGAUAACUACUGGAAACGGUAGCUAAUACCGCAUACUAUCGGAUAACCCAUAUGGGAUUAGCUAGUAGGUGAGGUAAUGGCCCGCCUAGGCGACGCUCCCUAGCUGGUCUGAGAGGAUGAUCAGCCACACUGGGACGUAGCCACGACGCAGACUCCUACGGAGGCAGCAGUGGGGAAUAGUGCACAAUGGGCGCAAGCCUGAUGCCGCCAUGCCGCGUGUAUCAAGAAGGCCGUCGGGUUGUAAAGUACUUUCAGUCGGGAGGCGUUACCGACAGAGGAAGCACCGGCUAACUCCGUGCCAGCCGCCGCGGUAAUAC